rnacentral:snoRNA from 1 species
UUGUUUUAGGGAUGAACAAGUACUUGAUAAUUGAAUUCAUUCAUCUCUUUGUCAUCAUCACAGUGUUUGUUGUUCAUCAUUAUCGGAUAGUACAAUU